UGGUAGAUAGAGAUGUUGUGAGCAGGGGGAAGCCCUCAUUCAGACCUCUUCUCUGUGUAACUCAAAGCACAAUUUUCUUCUCAGGCUGCCAUGAUGCAAAACUGGAUCCCUAACAUCACAAGGUGGUUCUUUGGACUAUCACAAAAAGUAAAAUUAGAAAAUUACAAAAAGCAAAAGAAAAAUACCCCACUUCUUCUAAACUCAAGAAAUACGAACACCCUCAGGAAUGAGUGGCGAUGAGUAAAUUUCACAGCAGACUAGACUUCAUGUACAGGCUCUUAAGAAUCCGCUUUCUACUGAUAUUUUCUUGGAACUGAGGGAAGAUAUGGACUUGCCUUCAUCCACACAGCAUGCUUUAUUUUAUUGCCUUUAAGGCUGUGUUG
rnacentral:lncRNA from 1 species